UUCUAAAAUUUAUAAUAGAAUUUUAUUUUUUAGUCAAAAAGCUAAAAUAAAAUUAAAAGACGAGAAGACCCUAUAAAUCUUUAUAUAUAGAUUAUUAGAAUUUUGUAGAUUAUUUUUGUUAUAAUAAUUAAUUAUAUUUUAUUGGGGUGAUAUUAAAAUUUAAUAAACUUUUAAUUUUUGAAAUCAUUAAUUUAUGAAUAGUUGAUCCGUUAAUAACGAUUAAAAAAAUAAGUUACCUUAGGGAUAACAG
rnacentral:rRNA from 1 species